GCAAGUCGAACGGCAGCACGGGCUUCGGCCUGGUGGCGAGUGGCGAACGGGUGAGUAAUACAUCGGAACGUACCCAGAAGUGGGGGAUAACGCAGCGAAAGUUGCGCUAAUACCGCAUACGUUCUACGGAAGAAAGUGGGGGGUCUUCGGACCUCAUGCUUUUGGAGCGGCCGAUGUCUGAUUAGCUAGUUGGUGGGGUAAAGGCUCACCAAGGCGACGAUCAGUAGCUGGUCUGAGAGGACGACCAGCCACACUGGAACUGAGACACGGUCCAGACUCCUACGGGAGGCAGCAGUGGGGAAUUUUGGACAAUGGGCGCAAGCCUGAUCCAGCAAUGCCGCGUGAGUGAAGAAGGCCUUCGGGUUGUAAAGCUCUUUUGUCAGGGAAGAAACGGUUCCGGCUAAUAUCUGGAGCUAAUGACGGUACCUGAAGAAUAAGCACCGGCUAACUACGUGCCAGCAGCCGCGGUAAUACGUAGGGUGCAAGCGUUAAUCGGAAUUACUGGGCGUAAAGCGUGCGCAGGCGGUUUUGUAAGUCUGUCGUGAAAGCCCCGGGCUCAACCUGGGAAUUGCGAUGGAGACUGCAAGGCUUGAAUCUGGCAGAGGGGGGUAGAAUUCCACGUGUAGCAGUGAAAUGCGUAGAGAUGUGGAGGAACACCGAUGGCGAAGGCAGCCCCCUGGGUCAAGAUUGACGCUCAUGCACGAAAGCGUGGGGAGCAAACAGGAUUAGAUACCCUGGUAGUCCACGCCCUAAACGAUGUCUACUAGUUGUCGGGUUUUAAUUAACUUGGUAACGCAGCUAACGCGUGAAAGUAGACCGCCUGGGAGUACGGUCGCAAGA
rnacentral:rRNA from 1 species